GGCCCAUUCGUCUAGUGGACUAGGAUGCAGCCCUCUCAAGGCUGAGACACGGGUUCGAACCCCGUAUGGGCCACUA
rnacentral:tRNA from 1 species